rnacentral:pre_miRNA from 1 species
AGUGAAAUUGCUGGGUUACAUGAUAAAUCUACCUUUACUUUUUGAGGAACUGCCAAACUGUUUUCCAAACUGGCUGUACCAUUUUACAUUCCCACCAGCAGU